UCCGGUUUGUCACCGGCAGUCUCCUUAGAGUGCCCUUGCGUAGCAACUAAGGACAAGGGUUGCGCUCGUUACGGGACUUAACCCAACACCUCACGGCACGAGCUGACGACAGCCAUGCAGCACCUGUGUUCCGAUUCCCUUUCGGGCACCCCCACCUCUCGAUGGGGUUCCGGACAUGUCAAGGGUAGGUAAGGUUGUUCGCGUUGCAUCGAAUUAAUCCACAUCAUCCACCGCUUGUGCGGGUCCCCGUCAAUUCCUUUGAGUUUUAACCUUGCGGCCGUACUCCCCAGGCGGUCAACUUCACGCGUUAGCUUCGUUACCAAGGAAUUGCUUCCCCGACAACCAGUUGACAUAGUUUAGGGCGUGGACUAC
rnacentral:misc_RNA from 1 species